UCUAGGAAGGACACCCUGCGACUGUCGACGCAGGCGGUACUCAUGCAAAUGAAUACUGUGACGGUGCAGGGAAUAAUCGGCUGAAAAGCCAACCUGCUGGGACCGAGCUUCACACUGGCAGCUCCGCCUCCUCGUGGCCCCCGCUGGUAACAGCACGGCGAGAUGCACGCAUCGCGUCGCGCCGGCUAAGCGAGCUGCCGCCCGAAAGGGCGAGUUCAACUUGUCCAAUAACCCGAAUGGAGAGGGCAGGGUUUUUCCAAGUCGCGCGCCGACCAUCUAUGCGCGCCGUUCCCCGAGCAAUGGACGCUUGAAAGUAGACGAUAAUUAACGAACAUACAAUUG